rnacentral:lncRNA from 1 species
CUCAUUGCUCAACUCCCACUUAUCAGUGAGACAAUGCGGUGUUUGGUUUUCUGUUCUUGUGUUAGCUUGCUGAUGAUGGUUUCCAGCUUCAUCCAUGUCCCUGCGAAGAACAUGAACUCAUUCUUUUUUAUGGCUGCAUAGUAUUCCAUGGUGUAUACGUGCCACAUUUGCUUAAUCCAGUCUGUCAUUGAUGGACAUUUGGCUUGGUUCCAAGUCUUUGCUAUUGUGAAUAGUGCUUCAGUAAACAUAUGUGUGCCUGUGUCUUUAUAGUAGAAUGAUUUAUAAUCCUCUGGGUUUAUACCCAGUAAUGGGAUUGCUGGGUCAAAUGGUAAUUCUAGUUCUAGAUCCUUGAGGAAUUGCUGCACUGUCUUCCACAAUGGUUGAACUAAUUUACACUCCCACCAACAGUGUAAAAGCUUUCCUAUUUCUCCACAUCCUCUCCAGCAUCUGUUGUUUCCUGACUUUUUAAUGGUUGCCAUUCCAACUGCCAUGAGAUGGUAUCUUAUUGUGAUUUUGAUUUGCAUUUCUCUAAUGACUAGUGAUGAUGAGCAUUUUUUCAUGUCUGUCGGCUGCAUAAAUGUCUUUUUUUGAGAAGUGUCUGCUCAUAUCCUUUGCCCAAUUUAUGAGGUUGUUUUUUCCUUGUAAAUUUAAGUUCCUUCUAGAUUCUGGAUAUUAGUCCUUUGUCAGAUGGAUAGAUUGCAAAAAUUUUCUUCCAUUCUGUAGGUUGCCUGUUCCCUCUGAUGAUAGUUUCUUUUGCUGUGCAGAAGUUCUUUAGUUUAAUUAGAUCCCAUUUGUCAAUUUUGGCUUUUGUUGCCAUUGCUUUUGGUGUUUUAGACAUGAAGUCUCUGCCUACACCUAUCUCCUGAAUAGUGUUGCCUAGGUUUUCUUCUAGGAUUUUUAUGGUUUGCAGUCUUACAUUUAAGUCUUUAAUCCAUCUUGAGUUAAUUUUUGUAUAAGGUGUUAGGAAGGGGUCCAGUUUCAGUUUUCUGCUUAUGGCUAGCCAGUUUUCCCAACACCAUUUAUUAAACAGGGAAUCCUUUCCCCAUUGCUUGUUUGAGUCAAGUUUGUCAAAGAUCAGAUGGUUGUAUAUGUGUGGUGUUAUUUCUGAGGUCUCUUUUCUGUCCAUUGGUCUAUAUAUCCGUUUUGGUACCAGUGCCAUGCUGUUUUGGUUACUGCAGCCUUGUAGUAUAGUUUGAAGUCAGGUAGUGUGAUGCCUCCAGCUUUGUUCUUUUUGCUUAGGAUUGUCUUGGCUAUGUGGGCUCUUUUUUGGUUCCAUAUGAAGUUUAAAGUAGCUUUUUCCAAUUCUGUGAAGAAAGUCAGUGGUAGCUUGAUGGGGAUAACAUUGAAUGUAUAAAUUACUUUGGGCAGUAUGGCCAUUUUCACUACAUUGAUUCUUCCUACCCAUGAGCAUGGAAUGUUUUUCCAU